rnacentral:rRNA from 1 species
AUGUCUUCCAGCAGGUUCUCGCCGGCGCUGCAGGCGUCGGACCUCAACGACUUCAUCGCCCCCUCGCAGGACUGCGUCGUCUCCCUCAACAAGAACUCCGCUGCCAGCCGCCUCCCGAUUAAAAAAAAGCAAGUUGUGGUGAGUACAAAACCUCCAGAAGAAUCGGUCAAGAUUUCUCUCAAGGACUGUUUGGCUUGCAGUGGUUGCAUAACAUCAGCAGAGACAGUUAUGCUUGAGAAGCAAAGCUUGGAUGACUUCAUUACUCGCAUCAACUCAGGCAAAACCGUCAUCGUAUCUGUAUCUCCCCAGUCAAGAGCAUCAUUAGCUGCAUUCUUUGGUCUUUCUCAGUCACAGGUUUUCCGAAAACUAACUGCUCUGUUCAAGUCGAUGGGCGUGAAGGCAGUGUAUGAUACAAGUAGUAGUCGAGAUCUGGCCCUAAUUGAAGCAUGCAAUGAAUUUAUUUCACGCUAUAAGCUGAGUCAAUUGUCUAGCGACAAAGAAGUUGGAACCAGUCUUCCUGUGCUUUCAUCUGCAUGUCCAGGCCAUAUGAUGUAUAUCAUGGUUACUGUGAUGCCCUGUUAUGAUAAAAAACUUGAAGCUGUCCGGGGUGACUUUGUUUUCUCAGUGGAAGAAAAGGAAGUUACAGAGGUGGACUCGGUAUUGACAACUGGUGAAGUGUUGGACUUGAUACAGUCCAAAUCUGUUGAUUUCAAGACAAUGGAGGAAUCUCCUUUGGACAGAUUAUUAACAAAUGUUGAUGAUGAUGGUCAUCUAUAUGGGGUUUCUGGUGGCUCGGGUGGUUAUGCGGAAACCAUCUUUCGUUAUGCAGCACGUGCGCUCUUUAAUAGGGAAAUAGAAGGCCCACUUGAUUUCAAAAUCUUGCGAAAUUCAGAUUUCCGUGAAGUUACGCUGGAGGUGGAGGGCAGUCCUGUUUUGAAGUUUGCCCUUUGUUACGGGUUCAGAAACCUACAGAACAUUGUUAGGAAGGUUAAGAUGGGAAAAUGUGAAUACCAGUUUAUUGAAGUUAUGGCUUGCCCUUCAGGUUGUCUGAAUGGGGGAGGCCAAAUAAAACCUGCUAAAGGCCAAUCUCCCAAGGAUCUCAUCCAACAACUAGAGAGUGUGUACACGCAAGAUGUAUCAAUAUCCAACCCCUUUGAUAACCCGAUUGCGAAAAGAUUAUACGAUGAUUGGCUCGUCCAACCCGGUUCAGACAAUGCAAAGAGGUACUUGCACACGCAGUAUCACCCCGUGGUGAAAAGCGUCACUUCGCAGCUGCAAAACUGGUGA